rnacentral:rRNA from 1 species
GACGAACGCUGGCGGCGUGCUUAACACAUGCAAGUCGAACGGAAAGGCCCUGCUUUUGUGGGGUGCUCGAGUGGCGAACGGGUGAGUAACACGUGAGUAACCUGCCCUUGACUUUGGGAUAACUUCAGGAAACUGGGGCUAAUACCGGAUAGGAGCUCCUGCUGCAUGGUGGGGGUUGGAAAGUUUCGGCGGUUGGGGAUGGACUCGCGGCUUAUCAGCUUGUUGGUGGGGUAGUGGCUUACCAAGGCUUUGACGGGUAGCCGGCCUGAGAGGGUGACCGGCCACAUUGGGACUGAGAUACGGCCCAGACUCCUACGUGAGGCAGCGGUGGGGAAUAUUGCACAAUGGGCGGAAGCCUGAUGCAGCAACGCCGCGUGCGGGAUGACGGCCUUCGUGUUGUAAACCGCUUUCGCCUGUGACGAAGCGUGAGUGACGGUAAUGGGUAAAGAAGCACCGGCUAACUACGUG